GUAGCUCAAUUUGCAUAGCUUAUUUUGAAGUCCUGCUGUGUAGAUGUACCCAUAGUAUAGGAGCUUCUUGCACCUUGAGCUAUAACACCAGCUGGCUCUUAGCUUAAGCUGUAGAGUUCACUCAUUAGUAUUUCUCGCUGUAAGUGGUCUAAGUGCCACUACAUGGGACAGUGAACCACACCCGCUAGGUGUGUGGGUUAUAUAAACACGACAGCUACCAUUUUACAGAUGGCAAAGCUGAGGCCCAAAGAAGUUAAUUAGCUUGUCCAAAGUAACACACUGAGUUAGUAUAAUAGCCACAUUUUAAAGUGAGGAAUUCCAAAUUUACCAAGUACUGCUUAGUUCACUAGACAACAUGGAUACCUAGGUUAUUAUUAGAGCAGAGUGGAAAUUUUCCAAAAAAAUCAGUUUUUGUCAGAAGAUGAUGAUUUGUCAAAACAAAUGUUUUGCAAAAAUGUAUUGGUUACAACAAAGUUGCAAGGUAAUGCAAAUAGAGUUUCGAUCAAUACCUGCUCAACUUCCAGAUUGCUUGCCUGCAGUUCUGGGACCCACAGCUUCAUGGCUCCUCCACUGAACAGACUGCCCCAUAGUCGGGGAUGCCAGGGCUUCCGAAGUCCAUGGCUCUAGUGCCCUCCUGCCAUGUCGACUGAUUCACAGAUUUACAUUCACAGAGUUGGGUGAUUGGGAACCUUACCUGGGGGAUCUCAGGGUUUCCAGGCUCACUGCCACACAGCCAAGAGCCUGGUAACCAUGUCUAGGAGUUAGAUUUCAAGGGUUUCUACUGUAGAGUUUGGAGUCUGAAAGCACUAGCUGAGCCUGGGAGUUUGAGUUCAACUUAGUUCUGAUAUUUUCAGAAUGGAACAUUUUGAUUAUUUAAAAAACCAAACUUAUUUGUAUUUUCCAUUCCAAGUGAAAUUUGAACAUUCUAAAAGAAUGUUUUUUCUUCAAAAUUCUGGAAUUUUUAGUGGAAAGGAAAUUCUGACUUCUUCUGACCAUCUCUAGUUACAAUACAGUAUGAUGCCUUGUUUGGUCUCAGUUAUUCAUAGCAAGAUAUGGUAUUCGUGAGUCAUGUGGAAAAGAUCAUUCAGCUAUGUUUCCAGCAGACCUGCAUACAAAAGUCUGGAGUUGAAGUAUGCUAUAAACAGCUAAUAAAAGAGACAGCGUGUGGCAGCGUAUGCAUACACCUUCCCAGGGGCAGAGAAGAAAACACAGGGGAAGAUGAAAAUGCCUUCACUGCCAUUAAUGGGUCUCUGUGUAUGGAGCAGAAAAAAGGUGACUUUGGAGAUUAGCACCACCAGCAUUGCUUUAGUGUCUCUGCAGUCAGGUUGAGAAUCAUACUACUGGGUCUCUCAAAGGAUCUAGAUUCCUCUUGCAGUUCCCUUCCCCUUUGUAAAUCCAUCUAAAGCCAGACAAAAGUCUAGCCUGGCUUUAGUAUAGUGAAGAAAGUUUUUUUUUCUCCUCUACUAUACAAACUGAGAAAAAUCCCAUUAAAGUCCUGACCCUCUGCAGCUCUAAGUGUCUUAUCUCCCAUUGAGGCGGGAGUCCCUCUAUUUUAGUGGCAAUUAAAAUUAACCAAUGCUGUUUUUCUUCACUUCAUGUCAGAUUUUAUUUCUAAAACCAGCUUUUGAGGUGUUUGAUAUCAAAUAAAGUAAGCUAUGUGAUAAGAAAACUUUAAUUAUCCAAAUUAUCUGAAAGAAAUAUGUGACAGGCACAAGACAUCUGUUGACUGUCAAAGACUUGCUUGAUUAGCAUUCAUGAAGCAACAAGGAAUUUUACAGUGAAGCAAAAGCAUCACCUUAGGGGGGUGUUAAAGUGCACUGCAAAAAAAUACUGACAUCCCUGUUAGAUUUUUGUAGUGAUCAAUUAACAGGCUGAAGAUAGCAACUGUACUCCAAAGAACUUAACAGUAACAUUACUUUGAAAAUGCAGCUUUCCAAAAGCAUUCAGCUACCAAGAAAGCCUAAAACUUGUAUAUAUAGCAAUUGUAAUAGCUGCAGGCAAUAUAUGCUUAGAACACAUAAAUCUCUAUAUAUUGUGGGCCACCUUUUCAAACAGAUGAACAUAUAAUGUGUUUGUACACUUUGGCAUAUGUUCAUUUAACAUGGUGGUGGGCAAUCUGCAGUCUGCAUCCUUCAGGUUAGUCUGAUUUUGGGCCGUAAGACAUUUUGCUGACAUUGGCCAACUCCAGGCACGGCCUCCCACAGUUCUCAGUGGCUGUGGUUC